rnacentral:rRNA from 1 species
CAAUAGCGUAUAUUAAAGUUGUUGCAGUUAAAAAGCUCGUAGUUGGAUUUCUGGUUGAAGCGACCGGUCGGGCGUUGAUUCGUCUGCACUGGAGUCGGUUUUGGCCAUCCUCUAGGAAAGUGCGUCUGGUAUUAAGUUAUCGGGCGUAUGAUCCUGGUCUUUUACUGUGAAAAAAUUAGAGUGUUUAAAGCAGGCCUUCGCCUUGAAUACAUUAGCAUGGAAUAAUAAGAUAGGACUUUGGUCUAUUUUGUUGGUUUGCAGACCGAAGCAAUGAUUAAUAGGGAUAGUUGGGGGUAUUUAUAUUCCGAUGUCAGAGGUGAAAUUCUUAGAUUUUCGGAAGAUAAACUUAUGCGAAAGCAUUUACCAAGGAUGUUUUCAUUAA